GCGGUUAGACGAAGGACCCAAAUAAAGUUUAUUGGUGGAAUGUAGUAUUAAAAAGUAAGUUUAAGCUUUCUCAUAGUUUCAUAAAAGGUAAAAUUUUUAAUGAAUCCUCCUUUAGCUUUCGUUUACAUAUUUUAUCUAUUUAAGUAUGCCCCUAAACUAGGAUUAGAUACCCUAUUAUUCAUACCUAAAAUUGCCAGGGUAGUAAAAGAUAUUCUUCAAACCCAAAGAAUUUGGCGGCACUUCAUUCUCCCCAGAGGAACCUGCCCCUUUAUCGACAAUCCACGCUUAACCUUACCUUUUCUAACAGUUUGUAUACCGCCGUUGCCAGAUAAUUUUUCCAAAACAUUAUCAAACUCAAUAAUUUUAAAGACUUCAGGUCAAGGUGCAGCCUAUGAAAAGGUGGAGGUGGGUUACAAUAAUAUAUAAAUUAAACGGAUAAUUCUAUGAAAAAGAAUUUGAAGGUGGAUUUGGUAGUAAAUCCCUCUUAGCAAAAGGGGUUGAAAUGAGCUCUGAAAUGUGCACACAUCGCCCGUCGCUCUCCCUAAUAAAGGGAGAUAAGUCGU
rnacentral:rRNA from 1 species